rnacentral:misc_RNA from 1 species
CUGGUGGCUGAAAGAGUGGUAUUCUCUCCUGUCUCCAAACUGGGAGAUGAUUAUGAAUUCCAGUUUGACCUUGACUAUGAUGAGGGUGAUACAGUGUCCAAAACACCACCUUAUUUAUUUGGUAUGAAGGGUGUGAAUUCGAGAAAUCCAUUCUCAAAGCUUCAGAGCUUGGAGGAAGAGAAGGAAGACGAUGACAACAAUGAUGCAGCCAGCAGCGUGG